rnacentral:lncRNA from 1 species
GCUCAAUAUAUUGACUUUUAAAUGCCUUUAUAAUUUUUUUGUACUUAAAAUUAAAAAGAAGAAAACAAAAUCCUGGUAAGAGAAGCGUUAUAUAUUAGUUUUCCAAAUUAUUUUCAUCUCGUAUGAUACUCAGCAUGUUGCAAUUCAAUGCAAGGACCAAGGACAUUUGUGUUUAUAUUUUACACUAUUUUUUUUUUUUUACAGUUUGUGUAUAAACAAGGGGCAUGGAUGUAGAUUGGGGGUUUUGAUAGUUGCCGCAAGACUUAGGGGAGGAUUGAGGGAGGUGUGAAAAUAAAAUCUGAUUUCGCUAGCAUGGUUUUGAUUAGUCCAUCAUGUUGAAGUUGGAACUUUGAUAAUUUGAUUCAACAGAAACUUUGAUAAUUUGGGAUAGUUUGCAUCUUCAAUCAAGUCUGGAAGCCUUGGCAGUGGAAUAUCAUAUUCGAAGUUUUCUUUUUUCAUAUUUGUAAGUAUUGGAGUUAAAAAAGGGCACUAUUUUUGCUCCAAAAAGAGAAUACUAUACAGACUGGAAUUAUUAGGGUUCGUGAAACAGGGCAUAUAGAUAAUUUGCAGCUCUAUGUUUGUCUAUAUAUAUGUAUAUAUAUUGGUUUUGUUGCUUUACUUUGAUAAUAAGCAAAGGAAAAGAAAUAUGAGGAUGAUUUCUUAAACAGAAUUAUGCAAGUGUGAUGAUGCGGAGACUUUCACCUCAGCAGUAUUAUGUGAUUAUAGAUUGCUGAAAUCUUACAUUGAUUGGUCUAAUGCAGAGACUCUGGUUUCUUGUCAGUAAAGGUGUAGGAGCUUGUGGUUAUGUCUUAGAUGCUUAGCAUUCAACGAUAUUUCAAGUAUCAUUUAGUGUGACAUGGUUGUGAUGUAUUGGGUGAAGUGGUGAAGCUUUUUGGUACAAAUAUCAUGAGAUGAACAUGGUAAAAAUGAUAAAUGUUAAGGUGGAAAUUGGUAGAAUACAGUAGGAUAGGAUUCUAAACGAGUCCAUUGCAAUACAUUUGGCAGUGGCAUUAAUGGUAAAACUAAUGAUGUCGAAUUGUCUAAGUCUCUAAGAUAAUGCACAGAGUCCAUUCCAUGUCUAUCCAUCUCAGUGGUGUAGAUAUGCAUGGAAUUAUGGAAGGGAGGGGAUCUCAUUGUUUGCUUGAUGGAUAAGAAGAUGGGAUCUGCUGGUGCAAAAGGUUUGAGGAUAUUCCCAAAUUGGAGGCCUUGGACAUAUUCUCAGAUGAUUUGAUCUGUUAAAAAUUCCAAAAAGUCCAUAGUAUUGUGGCAUAUUCAUCCUUUUCUCUGAUUAGAAGACUUCAUUUUGGGUUUCUUGAUGGAAAAUCAUGUUAUGUAAAUUGUGAGAAUUGAUGCUAGUUCUUGGGUGGCUCAUAUCCAUCAUAGGGUGGGUGAUUUAUUAUGGAAAUGGUCUUCGAUCUAAAAUGUAGUUCUUGGGCACUUUUAGAUGAAGGAUACUAGAAUGUUGAUAAAUUAUCUAUGGUCAUUGUCGGCAGUAUUCUUAUUGUAAAUCUUACAGAUUUCAAUAACUAGUACCAUCUCAAUCAAUCAUUUGCAGUGUUACCUAGACACUUGGUGUUGGUGCCAAGUGGCAAAUUAUCAGACAUGACUGCCUCCAAAAAUCCUGACAUGGGAACACG